rnacentral:lncRNA from 1 species
ACUACUUUUUGCAUGACUUGGAUGCACAAUUAUCAUGUUCAUGAUGUUUCGUAAUGCUCAUUACAACAAAGAAAAAUGAAAUAUGAUAAAAUAAACAAAAAAAAUACAUUAGUAUUAUGUGAAAACAUGACGUGAGUUGUGUGUUAAUCCAUUAGUUUCUUAUGUGAAAACAUGACGUGAGUUGUGUGGAACUUACCCUGAGUCAAGUCGUGGAAUUUUGCUCGUACUGGUUAUUUGUAUGUUCGCUUUCAGGUGUUGCCGGAGCUAGAGGAACGUGGUUGAUGACGGGAUCGAGGGACGAAGCUUGGGAGAAGCUGAGGUCGAGGGAUCAAGGUCAUAAUAGUUUGGUGCAGCUUUCUCACAAGAUCAUAAUAGUUUGCUGCAGAUUUAUCACGAGAUCAAUGAAAGAUCG